CCCUAUCCUCACACCCACCCAGUGAGCCUCUGAAAAGUGAAUAAUUGAUUUGUCUGUGCCAACUCCGUAGUUUGAGCCCCCUACUACCCACAUUUACAGCCCAACUGCAGGUCAGAAGUCUGACACCCGUCUCAAACUGGGCUAAAACCAAGGUGUUGGCAGUGCUGCCUUACGUUCUGAAGCCUCCGGGGAAGAAUUUGUUUCCUUUUCCUGCUUGCAUUCCUUGGUUAUUGUCUCCCUUCCUGCAUCUUCAAAGCCAGCAGUGGCAGGUUGGGACCUUCUCAGGUCACAUCCGACCCAAUCCGUCCUUUUAAGGAUCUUUGUCAUUACAUCAGGCCCAUCCAGAUAAUCCAGGAUAAUCUCCCUAUUUUAAAAUCAACUGAUUAGCAACUUUAAAUCCACCUGCAACUUUUAAGUCCUCUUUGCAACAUAACCUAACGUGUUUACAGGUUCUGGGGACAUUCCUGGGGGAGGGCAUUAUUCUGCUCCCUGCAUCUCUCCUAGAACUUCUCAUGUACAACUCUCUACAUCCUUCAUCUGUGACUUUCACACUGAAGUCCAGUUGUUUCCAAUCUCUAAAAUAACCCUAUAUUCUUAAUUAAAAGUCUUUGUACA